UACGUAGGGUGCAAGCGUUAAUCGGAAUUACUGGGCGUAAAGCGUGCGCAGGUGGUGAUGUAAGACAGUUGUGAAAUCCCCGGGCUCAACCUGGGAACUGCAUCUGUGACUGCAUUGCUGGAGUGCGGCAGAGGGGGAUGGAAUUCCGCGUGUAGCAGUGAAAUGCGUAGAUAUGCGGAGGAACACCGAUGGCGAAGGCAAUCCCCUGGGCCUGCACUGACGCUCAUGCACGAAAGCGUGGGGAGCAAACAGG
rnacentral:rRNA from 1 species